UGGUGAUGCCUUUCGCAUGCGGCGUUGCUCUUCUUUCUCUCUCUUCACAGCCGGCGUUAGGUCUCUUCCACAGACGGUGAUGCUCAUCCUUAUCUUCAUACGCAGCGCUGACUUUUCACGCGCAGCGCUAGUUCUCUCUCUCUUCAGCUUCUUCAUCACAGACGACGCUAAGCUCUUAUACACGAGCAGCGAUGCCCCAAAUGGCGCUAAGCCUCUACUUCACAGACGACGCUGGGCCUCUGCUUCACAACCUUUGUUGUCGUGCGCGUCCCUUAACUGGGAGAAAAUUAGGGCAGGUAUAUCUUGAGGAUAAUUACUCUUUUCAACUGACACUUAUCUUGAACUUUGAAUAGUUUCACCUCGGGUUUAGCCAUAAUGUCGCAGGAGAAAAAUCAAGAAUUUGUUACUUUCGCCACUAUCACCUGACGGUCCACUUCUGUAGUAUAGUUGUGUCAUAUCUUCGUAUUCUUCCAACUGCUUACAAAUGGUAAAUCCAUAGAUCAUAAAAUUUGAAGGGAUGCCAGGUUCAAAUGAGAGAGAUCUUGUCCAUUAAAGGUUUAACCUGUUUCUAUUCGCAAUAGCAAUAACAGUGGACUGCAGAUGUAACCACUUUCAUUAUACGAAUCAAUCAAUGUCGCACCUUUUAUAUAAAGCACUGAGUCAGGAAUCCAACAGUCCUGGACUCAUGGGAAAAUUCAUCGCAUUGAAAGAGAAAUCUCCAUGUUAGUGACUGGGUGUUGAGCGGUACAUAAAGCUUUUAAGGCCUUAACUACCGGACGAUGCAUAUGGAAACUGAAUUCAUUCUCGGGUGGUUUAAACUGCCGGGUCAUGUGGAUGAUGGGUUAAGUCACCUUCGGAUGAUUUUAACUGCUGAGAUAUGUGGUUGAUGGGUUAAGCCACCCCCGUAUGACUUUAACCGCAGGGAUAUAUGGAUGAUGAGUUAAGCCACCUCCAAUUGAUAUGAAACUUCAGGUCCCUGAGAGUCUCGGCUUACUUUUAGAACAUGAAGUUCUGGGGUGUCAAUCAAGGCAUAUCUCUACUGACAGUGGAUACGGACAUGGGUUAAGCCAAGUCCAAAUGUUGUUCAAGUUAUAACACUCUUAGACUUUAUAACAUAUGAGGCCUUAACAUAAAUAUCUUUAGGAAUUUUACAUCAAUAUGAACAUAUGACGAGGUUCCCCUUAUGCUACGCUUAUUUAACCGACGAGUUACUCAAAAACUCCUCUAAUAUUCGGUGGAGAGGCAUGCAUAUGCCAUAGGAGUAUAUGUAUCCCUGAGUUUUGUGUUAUAGACCAUAAGUUAUGAUGCACAUGUGUAACUAACGAUAGAUUCAAGAAAAUAUGUAUAUCAAUACCGCAUCAGGUUCCUCCACAUAUCAUGUGGAUAGGCACAUCAGGCCUUAGGAAUAUAUGUAUCAUAGAGACUGACAAUGAGAUGGUUAUCAGAUCUUCGAUCAUCGAGCGUAAGUUAAACUUGAACAUGCUUAACUGACGAGCUAUCAUAACUUUACCGGUCGUAAGUCAGGGCAUAAAAGGGCCGGCUAACAAGUUCAAGACUCCGAAAGCAUAGUGGGGCCUCGUAUGAUGGAUCUUGAGUAUAUCAUACCUUUCAUAUCAUAGGACAUAUCUGAGCAGGCGUUAUCAAGAACCAUACUCAUAUUGUAUUGGCUGCAUGCUAAGACAAUUAUCCAGUGUGCAUUACCGACUUUGCUGCAUAUUUUAUAUCUUAAAUCAAUCAAGAGUUUGUUAGAAUGCACUUAUUCUUGUAUGAGGACUAAAAAACAUCUUCAAAGGCAAAGCCUAUUCAUUCAUUCAUCCAUCGUUGCUUAAAAUAACUUAUCCGGUAUGCGUUAUAAAACUCGUGCUUAUCCAGCAUCGGUUCAAAAUCUCACGCUUGCAUCAAGACUCCCAUAUAGUGUUGGUCAAAAUAAAUUUAGCCUCAUGUGAGGACUAAGAAUGCACUCAACCCACAACAUGUCUUCAUGAUUUUAGGCUUAUUUGGCAGGUGUUAGCAUCUCAAUCUUGAUCGAGCAUUCAUUGUAAUGUAUAUAGUCUUGUAUAAGACUAAAAUUACACCCAACAGACCCUAGGAGCCAUUUGUAAGUGGUUCCAUGUCUCGGGUGAUCUCCAGUUUGUAGCCCUUUUGUCAUCCCAAUGUCUGGCCGGCGUAUUACUAGGUCUCAGAGAAGAGCACUCGUUGGUGGACGAAAUACAGGUGAUAUUAUAACUAUUGCUAAUGAUGCCGAGGAACCUAAACCCCUUUCUGCUCGCUCGGACCGGGGCAAGGAAGUAAUGAGCAUGGACCUCUCCCUUUUCCUUUCCAAAUCAAGGGGUUGUCCCUCUUGAGCUUGGAUAUUCGGUAUAUGGAGAUCGGGGAGGACAUGUUGAAGGCCAUUUAUUGCUUUGUGGGUCACGCCUCUCUUCAAAAGCUAGGCAUACUUUCCUUCCACUUGGGAAAAACUAUAGAGGAGCAUGUUACUUUGGGUGUCCCUGGAGCUGAAUCGCUUCAUGAGGAAGUGGCCUGGCUUGAGAUAUUUUAGCGCUAAGGGAGUGAUCUUCGGAGGAGAAGACUCCCUCAAUUGCUCCCUUGCUUUGGUUUUUCUCUGACUAGUUGUCGAUUAUCUCUUUUGUGGAGAUGAGGCUUAGGUUUCGGCCUAACUUCAAGUUCCGCACUUAUGUUGUGUAUCCAGAGGUUGAUGAUGAGAUCUCGUCCAUUUCGAGGAAUAAUGGCAGGACCCAGUUGUUGUUGACCGAGCUUGAGAGGAAAUGAGGAAUCCUUCGUCCCCUUUGCUGGAAUCCGAUGAAUACCUGCCACUAGUGAGGUAUGCCAGUAUUUUGAGACUGAUGGAUCUUCAUAAUGGUCUGAGGAGGCAGCAGCGGGCAUAUUCCGAAAUGAGUGCCUAAGGAUCCCAUAG
rnacentral:lncRNA from 1 species